AAUAAGAUGAUGUUUGAUAGGAUUAGUGUUAAUACUCUAAGAUGGAAAAAGCUAGAUAUAUUAGCUACCAUGGUUGCUUAGGAUGCAUUAAAAGAUAUUUAUGAACUUGAGGUAGAUGACUAUAUUUUCAGGAGUUUUAAAAUAUAAUUUUAUCCAGGUUAUUAUUGAUCUUCAAACAAAGUUAAAUGACAGUCAGGCUCAUCUUCAGGCCUUACAAGCAUCUUAUGCUUCUUUGGCUAGCAAGUUUAAAAAACUGAAGAACUACUAAAAGUUAACUAGGUUGCUGAAGAGUAUUAAGCACUUUGUGUUUGAUUUGGUCAAUGACAACCUGCUUUAAAAGCUAUGUGUUUAUGUUCUAUUUGAAUUGUUUCUAUCUCUUUUUUGGAGAUUGCUACUGAACUCUUUAUUUUUCUUACUCAUUGUGUUUUUAGUUUUCCUUUAUUUUCCUUUUUCUGUAUUGCUUUUGAUUUAAAUGUACUUUUUAUAUUUUUUAUCUGCAAUCUAAG
rnacentral:lncRNA from 1 species